rnacentral:rRNA from 1 species
GCACAUUUGUUUACUUUUUCAUAACCGAUUAUUAUUCGAUGAUUGGAUUCAAAUCCUUUUUGGGAGCGCUUAGGGGUAGGUUUGAGGCUCGUCCUUAAAUAGCGUUUAUAGUAACUCAUUCUGUCUUUUCUAUGGGCUACACCUUGACCUGAUUUGUUAGGUGGGCUGUUAGGAAUAUAAUUUAUAAAGCUAUUCUUGAAACGGCGGUAUAUAGGCUGAAUAAGAAAAGUGAGAUUUAUCGCGGAUURUCGAUUAGGGAACAAGUUCCUCUGAUUAGAGCUAAUGCCGCCAAACUACUUUGGUUUUUCUGGCAGAUACUACCUAAUGGGGGAGAGG